UGGUAACAGGAUUAGCUUGCUAAUCGCUGACGAGUGGCGGACGGGUGAGUAAUGCUUGGGAAUUUGCCUUUAGGAGGGGGAUAACAGUUGGAAACGACUGCUAAUACCGCAUAAUGUCUACGGACCAAAGGGGGCCUCGGCUCCCACCUAUAGAGAAGCCCAAGUGAGAUUAGCUAGUUGGUGAGGUAAAGGCUCACCAAGGCGACGAUCUCUAGCUGUUCUGAGAGGAAGAUCAGCCACACUGGGACUGAGACACGGCCCAGACUCCUACGGGAGGCAGCAGUGGGGAAUAUUGCACAAUGGGGGAAACCCUGAUGCAGCCAUGCCGCGUGUGUGAAGAAGGCCUUCGGGUUGUAAAGCACUUUCAGUUGUGAGGAAAGGUUAAUGGUUAAUACCCAUUAGCUGUGACGUUAGCAACAGAAGAAGCACCGGCUAACUCCGUGCCAGCAGCCGCGGUAAUACGGAGGGUGCAAGCGUUAAUCGGAAUUACUGGGCGUGAAGCGCACGCAGGCGGUUUGUUAAGCUAGAUGUGAAUGCCCCGGGCUCAACCUGGGAUGGUCAUUUAGAACUGGCAGACUAGAGUUUUGGAGAGGGGAGUGGAAUUCCAGGUGUAGCGGUGAAAUGCGUAGAUAUCUGGAGGAACAUCAGUGGCGAAGGCGACUCUCUGGCCAAAGACUGACGCUCAUGUGCGAAAGUGUGGGUAGCGAACAGGAUUAGAUACCCUGGUAGUCCACACCGUAAACGCUGUCUACUAGCUGUGUGUGUAUUUAAUACGUGCGUAGCGAAGCUAACGCGCUAAGUAGACCGCCUGGGGAGUACGGCCGCAAGGUUAAAACUCAAAUGAAUUGACGGGGGCCCGCACAAGCGGUGGAGCAUGUGGUUUAAUUCGAUGCAACGCGAAGAACCUUACCUACACUUGACAUGCAGAGAACUUUCCAGAGAUGG
rnacentral:rRNA from 1 species